GUGCUCCUUCAACAGCACAUAUACUAAAAUUGGAACCAUACAGAGAAGAUUAGCAUAGCCCCUGCGCAAGGAUGACACGCAAAUUCAUGAAGCGUUCCAUAUUUUU
rnacentral:snRNA from 1 species